GAUGAACGCUGGCGGCGUGCCUAAUACAUGCAAGUCGAGCGAACAGACGAGGAGCUUGCUCCUCUGACGUUAGCGGCGGACGGGUGAGUAACACGUGGAUAACCUACCUAUAAGACUGGGAUAACUUCGGGAAACCGGAGCUUAUACCGGAUAAUAUAUUGAACCGCAUGGUUCAAUAGUGAAAGACGGUUUUGCUGUUACUUAUAGAUGGAUCCGCGCCGCAUUAGCUAGUUGGUAAGGUAACGGCUUACCAAGGCAACGAUGCGUAGCCGACCUGAGAGGGUGAUCGGCCACACUGGAACUGAGACACGGUCCAGACUCCUACGGGAGGCAGCAGUAGGGAAUCUUCCGCAAUGGGCGAAAGCCUGACGGAGCAACGCCGCGUGAGUGAUGAAGGUUUUCGGAUCGUAAAACUCUGUUAUUAGGGAAGAACAAAUGUGUAAGUAACUAUGCACGUCUUGACGGUACCUAAUCAGAAAGCCACGGCUAACUACGUG
rnacentral:rRNA from 1 species